rfam:Nocardiopsis sp. CNR-923 NODE_21_length_83938_cov_156.309_ID_59, whole genome shotgun sequence.
GCGGACGUGGCUCAGUUGGUAGAGCAUCACCUUGCCAAGGUGAGGGUCGCGGGUUCGAAUCCCGUCGUCCGCU